AAGUCGUAACAAGGUUUCCGUAGGUGAACCUGCGGAAGGAUCAUUACCAAAUCCAAAAUACCCAAACCCCAUGUGAACUAUUGUAUAGUCUGUCUUUGGGAGAAAGUUUCUGUUUUUUAUUAACUUAUUGUUAUUUAUUUGUUUCUUUGUGAAAAAGAGGAAAUAAAAAAUAAUAAAAUAAAAUAAAAAAAGCCGCUUUCUCCCAAAAGAGUCCGGCAUAUCUGUAUAGAUGUGUCAAGACUCUUUAAAUAAACCACUUUUAUUUUUUUUGUUGGAAUUUUUUUAUUAUUAAUUUUAAUAAAAGACAACUUUUAACGGCGGAUCUCUUGGCUCGU
rnacentral:misc_RNA from 1 species